AGCUCUCCGAGUGGUGUGGAUGUUUAUUGGGCCUAAAGCAUCCGUAGCUGGCUAAGUUAGUCCCUUGUUAAAUCCACCGAAUUAAUCGUUGGAUUGCGGGGGAUACUGCUUAGCUAGGGGACGAGAGAGGCAGACGGUAUUUCCGGGGUAGGGGUGAAAUCCUAUAAUCCCGGGAAGACCACCAGUGGCGAAGGCUGUCUGCUAGAACGCGCCCGACGGUGAGGGAUGAAAGCUGGGGGAGCGAACC
rnacentral:rRNA from 1 species